rnacentral:rRNA from 1 species
CAGCCGCCGCGGUAAUACGUAGGUGGCAAGCGUUGUCCGGAAUUAUUGGGCGUAAAGGGCUCGCAGGCGGUUUCUUAAGUCUGAUGUGAAAGCCCCCGGCUCAACCGGGGAGGGUCAUUGGAAACUGGGAAACUUGAGUGCAGAAGAGGAGAGUGGAAUUCCACGUGUAGCGGUGAAAUGCGUAGAGAUGUGGAGGAACACCAGUGGCGAAGGCGACUCUCUGGUCUGUAACUGACGCUGAGGAGCGAAAGCGUGGGGAGCGUACAGGAUUAGAUACCCCCGUAGUCCCUGUCUCUUAUAA